rnacentral:lncRNA from 1 species
CUCUCUUUGUGGCUCCCUCCCCCCAGCCUUGCCUGCCCUCAGGGCUUAGCAUCGGUCUGGUAGCCAGAGCCUUGCCUAACAUGAAACUGGCACAAAUGAAAAGGCGGAUAAAUAAACGUCCAGGAAUCUUGUUUGUCAUAUUUAAUCCAUCACGUUUCCCAAACAGCCUGGUCAAAAAAUUCUGCAGCAGUGUUUACAUCAUCCUGAUUGAAAGCUACAUCCGUGCAUAUAAAUACCAUUCCUGGAUGUAGCUCCAGUUUCACACGGAGGCAGCUAUCAGCCUUGUCUGCCCUCACCACUGAAAGAAGAAAAAAAAAUGUUUGAAUUUCUUCAUUCCCCCAUUCCUGCCCAAUCCAGCACUCGCACAUUCAUUUUUUUUUCCCCUCCUCUUCCUUAAGUAUCCCAGUGAGCAUUGCCCAAUGCUGUGAUUUCUGGGUAUGCUCAGUGAGCAAUGGGCAAGUGGAAUUCAUUAGACCACGGGGAAAUGGUUAAUCAGUGCGCUAAUGAAAGUGGCACAACACAAGCAUUGAAACAUGCAACCUGGCAGGGCUUGGUGUCAUCACAUGCCAUACACCUGGCACUUGGCUGGGAGCAACAACCAUGUCCCUAGCUGGGAAAGAAAACCAGGAGCACAGGUCAAACCAAUGCAAAUGAAUGAGAGAUAUUUCCCACUUUAAUGACCAGGAGGCAAAACUGGAAGAGGAAAGAAGCAGUUCCACCAUUUGACCAAGGAGAGAGACAGUUGUUGAUCCUACAUCAAGACAAACAAUGGCAAAGUGAUAACGAUGAUGAAGCUCAGAAAGGAACACAGAGUCCCAAACCUCCCCAUGCCAUGAUCCACAAAACAUUUCCCAACAGAAUGAACAGAGAAGGGAAAAAUCAAAAAGGAAAAAGAUGGAAAGAAAAAGAAUUCCAACCUGCCUGGGAUAAGAUGGUACAUCUUGUCACAAACAGAGUGUUUAACUUACGGCUUCUUUUGUUAAAAGAAAACCAAUCAAAUCUGUCUGUUUCCAUUCCAACCUCCUUCCCUCCACUUCAGCUUAUUUUUCCUGUGGCCAAAAUUGUUCAUCGUGCUGGAUGCAAAUCAUCCCCUGCAAAUUGCAUUUUUCCAUGGUAAAUGUUUUCACCAGAGAAUGUCCCGCUAUGCUGCCUCCAGAGGUUUUCAUCCCAUUUGGACACACAUAAUGGCGUGAAACACUUUGCUCACUCAGCUCCAUUUGCAGAGUGAACCCAACGUUGCAAUGUACUGUUUGUACGUUAAUGCAUUGCAAUGACACUGGCACACUUAUUUGGUGGAAAUGGGCACAAUAUUUGAUUGCACUCUUGGCAGCACUGUCCAGAGGUUGGACUUUGACUUCUAGUCUGCCUGUCUCCAGUUUCUUUGCAAAGGCUUUGAAAAACUGGGCUGUGACCCAGCCAUCCCCUUAGGUUUGGGCUUGUUUCUGAGUUCUUAUAGUUGAAAACAUCCAGCUGCAAAAGGAAAUAGCACCUGCUUUAUUCAGCUUAGCAGCACAGACAUUUCCCAGGAGCCUCCUUGUGCCCCUUGGAAUAAAAAUAAGGUUGUCAGAUGAUGCACCACAGAUAAAUCAGCAUUGUGACUGCCAGAAAAUACCCACCUCUCUAUUUUUAUAGGUGUCAUUAGCAUCCCUGCUUCUGAAAUUAGGACCUUACAGAGACAUAGGACACUGCUUUCUCAAAUAACAGCAAACCAUAUAACUUUAUAAGAAGUUUUUAAUCCCAGUAAAAGAAGCGAGACCGUAAACCCAUUUUUACCCUUCCUCCUUCACCUCUUGCCUACUCAAAAGCAGGAGCUGCUUCUGGCCUCCAGAUGUCCAACCCACAAGCUCUUCCCUUUUGCUAUUUUUGCUGCACGCUUUGAUCUUUUGCAAAUGCUGCCUGGGGGGGAGUAGGGGCUGGGGCUGUUGAUGCUGCACCCUGGGCUGCUCCAUCCAUGCCCCAGCCAAGCUCCUCAUCUUCCUCUGCCCUUGCUGCAAAGGGAGAUCUCUCCUGGCCAACAACGUCCCUGUAAGGACUGAGGUGAGGAAACAUUUACGUAUGCUGCAUGGACAAAGCACCAGGAAUCAAGAGAAAUCCUGAGGUUCCAUCAAGGAAAGACUAAGAGUGGACGUGUCUACCAGAACUAGGGAAGCAAAAACUGGAAGAAGAAAAUGUUUACCCAAGUAUGAUAAAUAUUUCCCAUUGCUUCCUUUGGUGUUCAACUGCGUUCAGUCUUCA